CAACUCGCCUACAUGAAGCUGGAAUUGCUAGUAAUCAUAGGUCAGCAUACUAUGGUGAAUACGUUCCCGGGCCUUGUACACACCGCCCGUCACACCACGAGAGUUGAGAAUACCCGAAGUCCAUGUCAAAGUGGCCGAAGGUAGGCUUGAUGAUUGGGGUGAAGUCGUAACAAGGUACC
rnacentral:rRNA from 1 species